rnacentral:misc_RNA from 1 species
CCUUGGUUGGUUGAGUUCAUUAGCUCUAACAGCACCAUAUUUAUAUAGGCACUCUUUUAUUUCUGAUGAUUCUUCUGAGAGGGUAAGGUCUUCUGCAAUAUCUAGAGCUGUUUUAUGGUCUCUUGUCAGUGCAUUCACGUUUGUGUCAGGAAGUAAUAAUAACUCAUUCACAAUCUCCACCCGUUUCUUCCUAGUUGCCACAUGUAAUGCUGUGUUACCAUUUUUGUCCGGAAGCAUCACAAUAGCAGCAUCUGCCUCAAGAAGCAAUUUAACUACCUCACAGCUCUGCCCCUUAACAGCCAUAUGCAAAGCAGUCUGCCCCUUCUUGUCGGUCCUUCGUGCCAACUGUGGAUCCUUGCUGAGCAAUGCUUUUACAACAUCUACAUGCCCCUGUCUGGCAGCUAAAUGCAAUGCAUUUUU